rnacentral:rRNA from 1 species
UACGUAGGGUGCGAGCGUUAAUCGGAAUUACUGGGCGUAAAGCGUGCGCAGGCGGUUCGUUGUGUCGGUGGUGAAAGCCCCGGGCUUAACCUGGGAAUGGCCUGGAAACUGGCGAACUGGAGUGUGGCAGAGGGGGGUGGAAUUCCGCGUGUAGCAGUGAAAUGCGUAGAGAUGUGGAGGAACACCGAUGGCGAAGGCAGCCCCCUGGGUCAAGAUUGACGCUCAUGCACGAAAGCGUGGGGAGCAAACAGG